GAUGAACGCUGGCGGCGUGCCUAAUACAUGCAAGUCGAGCGAACGGACGAGAAGCUUGCUUCUCUGAUGUUAGCGGCGGACGGGUGAGUAACACGUGGAUAACCUACCUAUAAGACUGGGAUAACUUCGGGAAACCGGAGCUAAUACCGGAUAAUAUUUUGAACCGCAUGGUUCAAAAGUGAAAGACGGUCUUGCUGUCACUUAUAGAUGGAUCCGCGCUGCAUUAGCUAGUUGGUAAGGUAACGGCUUACCAAGGCAACGAUGCAUAGCCGACCUGGGAGGGUGAUCGGCCACACUGGAACUGAGACACGGUCCAGACUCCUACGGGAGGCAGCAGUAGGGAAUCUUCCGCAAAGGGCGAAAGCCUGACGGAGCAACGCCGCGUGAGUGAUGAAGGUCUUCGGAUCGUAAAACUCUGUUAUUAGGGAAAAACAUAUGUGUAAGUAACUGUGCACAUCUUGACGGUACCUAAUCAGAAAGCCACGGCUAACUACGUG
rnacentral:rRNA from 1 species